rnacentral:rRNA from 1 species
CAGAGGGGGCAAGCGUUGUUCGGAAUUACUGGGCGUAAAGGGCGCGUAGGCGGCCUGCUAAGUCGAACGUGAAAUCCCCGAGCUCAACUCGGGAACUGCGUCCGAUACUGGCAGGCUUGAAUCCGGGAGAGGGAUGCGGAAUUCCAGGUGUAGCGGUGAAAUGCGUAGAUAUCUGGAGGAACACCGGUGGCGAAGGCGGCAUCCUGGACCGGCAUUGACGCUGAGGCGCGAAAGCCAGGGGAGCAAACGGGAUUAGAUACCCCGGUAGUCCUGGCCCUAAACGAUGAAUGCUUGGUGUGGCGGGUAUCGAUCCCUGCCGUGCCGAAGCUAACGCAUUAAGCAUUCCGCCUGGGGAGUACGGUCGCAAGGCUG